rnacentral:rRNA from 1 species
UUUCAUGAGAGUUUGAUCCUGGCUCAGGACGAACGCNNNNNNNNNNGCGUGCCUAAUACAUGCAAGUCGAACGAGAGCGACCGGUGCUUGCACUGGUCAAUCUAGUGGCGAACGGGUGAGUAACACGUGGGUAACCUGCCCAUCAGAGGGGGAUAACAUUCGGAAACGGAUGCUAAAACCGCAUAGGUCCUUUAACCGCAUGGUUGAAGGAGGAAAAGAGGCGCAAGCUUCUGCUGAUGGAUGGACCCGCGGUGCAUUAGCUAGUUGGUGAGGUAACGGCUCACCAAGGCCGUGAUGCAUAGCCGACCUGAG